AGUCCAGCAUUCUGCUGACCAGGCAGGUGAUGGGAGGAGCUAGGAGCAGUAUUACAGUCCAGCAUUCUGCUGACCAGGCAGGUGAUGGGAGGAGCUAGGAGCAGUAUUACAGUCCAGCAUUCUGCUGACCAGGCAGGUGAUGGGAGGAGCUAGGAGCAGUAUUACAGUCCAGCAUUCUGCUGACCAGGCAGGUGAUGGGAGGAGCUAGGAGCAGUAUUACAGUCCAGCAUUCUGCUGACCAGGCAGGUGAUGGGAGGAGCUAGGAGCAGUAUUACAGUCCAGCAUUCUGCUGACCAGGCAGGUGAUGGGAGGAGCUAGGAGCAGUAUUACAGUCCAGCAUUCUGCUGGCCAGGCAGGUGAUGGGAGGAGCUAGGAGCAGUAUUACAGUCCAGCAUUCUGCUGACCAGGCAGGUGAUGGGAGGAGCUAGGAGCAGUAUUACAGUCCAGCAUUCUGCUGACCAGGCAGGUGACGGGAGGAGCUAGGAGCAGUAUUACAGUCCAGCAUUCUGCUGACCAGGCAGGUGACGGGAGGAGCUAGGAGCAGUAUUACAGUCCAGCAUUCUGCUGACCAGGCAGGUGAUGGGAGGAGCUAGGAGCAGUAUUACAGUCCAGCAUUCUGCUGGCCAGGCAGGUGAUGGGAGGAGCUAGGAGCAGUAUUACAGUCCAGCAUUCUGCUGGCCAGGCAGGUGAUGGGAGGAGCUAGGAGCAGUAUUACAGUCCAGCAUUCUGCUGACCAGGCAGGUGAUGGGAGGAGCUAGGAGCAGUAUUACAGUCCAGCAUUCUGCUGACCAGGCAGGUGAUGGGAGGAGCUAGGAGCAGUAUUACAGUCCAGCAUUCUGCUGACCAGGCAGGUGAUGGGAGGAGCUAGGAGCAGUAUUACAGUCCAGCAUUCUGCUGACCAGGCAGGUGAUGGGAGGAGCUAGGAGCAGUAUUACAGUCCAGCAUUCUGCUGACCAGGCAGGUGAUGGGAGGAGCUAGGAGCAGUAUUACAGUCCAGCAUUCUGCUGACCAGGCAGGUGAUGGGAGGAGCUAGGAGCAGUAUUACAGUCCAGCAUUCUGCUGACCAGGCAGGUGAUGGGAGGAGCUAGGAGCAGUAUUACAGUCCAGCAUUCUGCUGACCAGGCAGGUGAUGGGAGGAGCUAGGAGCAGUAUUACAGUCCAGCAUUCUGCUGACCAGGCAGGUGAUGGGAGGAGCUAGGAGCAGUAUUACAGUCCAGCAUUCUGCUGACCAGGCAGGUGAUGGGAGGAGCUAGGAGCAGUAUUACAGUCCAGCAUUCUGCUGACCAGGCAGGUGAUGGGAGGAGCUAGGAGCAGUAUUACAGUCCAGCAUUCUGCUGACCAGGCAGGUGAUGGGAGGAGCUAGGAGCAGUAUUACAGUCCAGCAUUCUGCUGACCAGGCAGGUGAUGGGAGGAGCUAGGAGCAGUAUUACAGUCCAGCAUUCUGCUGACCAGGCAGGUGAUGGGAGGAGCUAGGAGCAGUAUUACAGUCCAGCAUUCUGCUGACCAGGCAGGUGAUGGGAGGAGCUAGGAGCAGUAUUACAGUCCAGCAUUCUGCUGACCAGGCAGGUGAUGGGAGGAGCUAGGAGCAGUAUUACAGUCCAGCAUUCUGCUGACCAGGCAGGUGAUGGGAGGAGCUAGGAGCAGUAUUACAGUCCAGCAUUCUGCUGGCCAGGCAGGUGAUGGGAGGAGCUAGGAGCAGUAUUACAGUCCAGCAUUCUGCUGACCAGGCAGGUGAUGGGAGGAGCUAGGAGCAGUAUUACAGUCCAGCAUUCUGCUGGCCAGGCAGGUGAUGGGAGGAGCUAGGAGCAGUAUUACAGUCCAGCAUUCUGCUGGCCAGGCAUGUGAUGGGAGGAGCUAGGAGCAGUAUUACAGUCCAGCAUUCUGCUGGCCAGGCAGGUGAUGGGAGGAGCUAGGAGCAGUAUUACAGUCCAACAUGCCAGCCCAUGCUCACUAGGGUCGUGUUCAGUAGCGAGCAAGUUACACUCUGAACUUGUCCGAUAAGAACACCGAUAUUUGUUUUCCGUUGCACAAAACCACCCAGCCUGCUGCGGCAGGUAGGAGCGGUAGGCCAGUAACCAAACGGUUGCUGGAUCGAAUCCCCGAGCUGACAAGGUAAAAGUCUGUCGUUCUGCCCCUGUUAACCCACUGUUCCCCGGGGGCCGAUGACGUGGCUGUUGAUUAGCCCCCUGCACCUCUCUGAUUCAGAGCGGUUGGGUUAAUAAAUGCGGGAGACACAUUUCAGUAGAAUGCAUUGUUGUACAACGGACUAGAUUUCCCCCCUUUCCUUUCCCAUACUGCUGUGCUGGGACUGAGGUGGGUCCAUAGGGAUUUAUAACCAGUCUAAAGCAGCCUGCUGCUCCAGUGUCCAGCUGCAGUCUUCCUCCCUCUCUCCCUCCCAUGUUAAAUCUGUUAAAUCUGUCAUAUUUCUAACUGCUCAAUUAUUCAAAUUAUGUGCCAGCAGCUUAAAAAAGGAAGAUUUGCUUUUGCUGAAGUGUAACUCAUCAAGUUGUGUCAACUAUUGGGGUGU